UGAGGACCUUGAGAUGGGGAGAUCAUCC
rnacentral:piRNA from 1 species